UUCUGGCUCAGGAUGAACGCAGCGGCAGGCUUAACACAUGCAAGUCGAGGGGCAUCGGGAGUAGCAAUACUGCCGGCGACCGGCGCAAGGGUGCGUAACGCGUGAGCAACAUGCCCGUAUCAGGGGGAUAAUCCAUGGAAACGUGGUCUAAUACCCCAUAGUAAUUAUGUAAGGCAUCUUAUAUAAUUUAAAGCUUUGGUGGAUACGGAUUGGCUCGCGUGACAUUAGCUAGAUGGUAAGGUAACGGCUUACCAUGGCUACGAUGUCUAGGGGUUCUGAGAGGAAGGUCCCCCACACUGGAACUGAGACACGGUCCAGACUCCUACGGGAGGCAGCAGUGAGGAAUAUUGGACAAUGGAUGGAAAUCUGAUCCAGCCAUGCCGCGUGCAAGGAAGACGGCCCUAUGGGUUGUAAACUGCUUUUGUAUGGGAGCAAUAAGGGCUACGUGUAGUCCGAUGAGAGUACCAUACGAAUAAGCACCGGCUAACUCCGUGCCAGCCGCGGC
rnacentral:rRNA from 1 species